GCUCAACUGGAUCUGUGCUGUGUGAAAAUAGUUACUCAGAAGGUGCCCCACGUGCAUAACCUCCUGACUGAUUGCAAGAAGGACCAGAGCCCAAGGGAGACGAAGUUAGCAGCUGCUACGUGAUGAAGCCAACUCUGCGAUCGAGGUCCUCAGAACCCUGGUACUGAUCUUUUAGCCUCUGUGAAGAACAGGGACCCUUUCCUGUGUGAAUCUGCCUUCUGGAAGGACCAGUGCUGUCUAGCUUGGAGAAGAAAUCGAAGCAUGUGACAGUGAGGAGACCGAAGUCUGAAUCCCCUGUUGAGCUAGUCCUGGUUGGAAUCCACAAGGCACGGGCAUAUGAAGAAAUAGCCAGGAACUGAUGAUGUUGAUGAUGAUGAUGAUGAUGGUGGUGGUGGUGGUGGUGGUGGUGGUGAAACCACUUAUUGAGCACCUUCUGCAUGUCUACAU